rnacentral:lncRNA from 1 species
ACACCAGUGUCUCCUAUGAAUCCAUUCAGGUUCAGCCAGCUUGGGCGUGGGACUACCUGACCGAGCAAGUGCUUGUGUGUGUGUGUGUGUGUGUGUGUGUGUGUGUGUGUGUGUGUGUGUGUGUGUGUGAUAUGGAGGGAGCCAGGAGAUAGACUUUGAGGAUGGAGGAGCACUCUGAGGGCCUGCAGGUGACCCUGGGAACCAAGCCUGGGAAGAACCUAAGUUAAUAAUGCAAUCUUUAUCUUAGAGAGAGUGAUCUUUCAGCAGACUGAUCGAACACACAGGCUUCUCAGCCCACUCCCUCCAGUCAAGGUUAAGGCCUGGCAAAGGUGGAGGAAGAGAAGCUGAGGAGAAAAAGGCGAGGAGAGCCUAGGCACAGGAAGGCUUCCCUCCCUCCCAGUGCUGAUUUCCUGUGGACCAGAUUCCAGCACAGUGGAGGGCCAGAGCUCAGGGAACAGACCCAGCAGCACAGCAAGUCUCCAAGGAAAGCUCUAGCAGUCUCCAGGGGCUGAAGGCAGGACUGGGGAAGCGGCUAGCCAGGCUGCAGAAGGCAAAUGCUCCCAGACGGCUGUCCAGCACGCAUCCGCCUUCCUAGCCAAGUUUCCUGGGCUCCUGCCACAGAUCUAAGCCUCAUCCUGACAUCCUGCCCUCUGUGCUCUGGGAUGGCCCAGGGGAGAUGCUUAGCCUUGGCUCCUUGUCUGCUGGUGGAGGGGACACACACCCUUUCUGGACCACAGACCAAAAAGAAGACCUGACGUCAUCCUGAGCACCCCCGCCAUGCAGAGUGUGUUCGCAGACUGCCAACGGGCUGGCUCCGGCCAGCAGAAGUGAACAGAGGUGGAGGUUCAGCCUGACAGCUUCUCCCCAAAGCCAUGGAGAGAAAACCUUACCACCCCCACCGCCCAGCUACUUCCAGCAAGUUGUCCAGCCUGACCCCUCUAUUUCCCCUGUUGUCUCUUAUCUGGGUCCCUGAGACCCACCCCAUCUCCAAUAAAGAACAUUGCAUACUGU